rnacentral:antisense_RNA from 1 species
UUUGGCAUUCGGUUUACGAUUAGCAAUCGCAUUACCGACCGCAUGCAAUAGGUGCGUUUUACCUAACCCGGUACCGCCAUA